GACGAACGCUGGCGGCGUGCCUAACACAUGCAAGUCAGGGGUAGCAAUACCACCGGCGCACGGGUGAGUAACGCGUAGAUAAUCUGCCUCUAUCUCCGGCAUAACCUCGAGAAAUCGGUGCUAAUACCGGAUGAGGUGCUUCGGCAUCAAAGGCAACGGAUAGAGAUGAGUCUGCGUAAGAUUAGCUUGUUGGUGAGGUAAUGGCUCACCAAGGCUGCGAUCUUUAGCUGGUCUGAGAGGACGAUCAGCCACACUGGAACUGAGACACGGUCCAGACUCCUACGGGAGGCAGCAGUGAGGAAUAUUGGUCAAUGGGGGAAACCCUGAACCAGCGACGCCGCGUGUGGGAUGAAGGGGCUUUGCCUUGUAAACCACUGUCGGAUGGGAAGAAAAGAUCCCUCGGGGAUCCGGGACUGUACCAUCAAAGGAAGGAUCGGCUAACUACGUG
rnacentral:rRNA from 1 species